UACGUAGGGGGGCUAGCGUUGUCCGGAUUUAUUGGGCGUAAAGAGCGUGUAGGCGGCCAGGUAGGUCUGCUGUGAAAACUCGAGGCUCAACCUCGAGACGUCGGCGGAAACCAUCUGGCUAGAGUCCGGAAGAGGAGAGUGGAAUUCCUGGUGUAGCGGUGAAAUGCGCAGAUAUCAGGAAGAACACCCGUGGCGAAGGCGGCUCUCUGGGACGGUACUGACGCUGAGACGCGAAAGCCAGGGGAGCAAACGGG
rnacentral:rRNA from 1 species